ACUAAGCGUACACGGUGGAUGCCCUGGCAGUCAGAGGCGAUGAAGGACGUGCUAAUCUGCGAUAAGCGUCGGUAAGGUGAUAUGAACCGUUAUAACCGGCGAUUUCCGAAUGGGGAAACCCAGUGUGUUUCGACACACUAUCAUUAACUGAAUCCAUAGGUUAAUGAGGCGAACCGGGGGAACUGAAACAUCUAAGUACCCCGAGGAAAAGAAAUCAACCGAGAUUCCCCCAGUAGCGGCGAGCGAACGGGGAGGAGCCCAGAGCCUGAAUCAGUGUGUGUGUUAGUGGAAGCGUCUGGAAAGGCGCGCGAUACAGGGUGACAGCCCCGUACACAAAAAUGCACAUGCUGUGAGCUCGAUGAGUAGGGCGGGACACGUGGUAUCCUGUCUGAAUAUGGGGGGACCAUCCUCCAAGGCUAAAUACUCCUGACUGACCGAUAGUGAACCAGUACCGUGAGGGAAAGGCGAAAAGAACCCCGGCGAGGGGAGUGAAAAAGAACCUGAAACCGUGUACGUACAAGCAGUGGGAGCACGCUUCGGCGUGUGACUGCGUACCUUUUGUAUAAUGGGUCAGCGACUUAUAUUCUGUAGCAAGGUUAACCGAAUAGGGGAGCCGAAGGGAAACCGAGUCUUAACUGGGCGUUAAGUUGCAGGGUAUAGACCCGAAACCCGGUGAUCUAGCCAUGGGCAGGUUGAAGGUUGGGUAACACUAACUGGAGGACCGAACCGACUAAUGUUGAAAAAUUAGCGGAUGACUUGUGGCUGGGGGUGAAAGGCCAAUCAAACCGGGAGAUAGCUGGUUCUCCCCGAAAGCUAUUUAGGUAGCGCCUCGUGAAUUCAUCUCCGGGGGUAGAGCACUGUUUCGGCAAGGGGGUCAUCCCGACUUACCAACCCGAUGCAAACUGCGAAUACCGGAGAAUGUUAUCACGGGAGACACACGGCGGGUGCUAACGUCCGUCGUGAAGAGGGAAACAACCCAGACCGCCAGCUAAGGUCCCAAAGUCAUGGUUAAGUGGGAAACGAUGUGGGAAGGCCCAGACAGCCAGGAUGUUGGCUUAGAAGCAGCCAUCAUUUAAAGAAAGCGUAAUAGCUCACUGGUCGAGUCGGCCUGCGCGGAAGAUGUAACGGGGCUAAACCAUGCACCGAAGCUGCGGCAGCGACACUGUGUGUUGUUGGGUAGGGGAGCGUUCUGUAAGCCUGUGAAGGUGUACUGUGAGGUAUGCUGGAGGUAUCAGAAGUGCGAAUGCUGACAUAAGUAACGAUAAAGCGGGUGAAAAGCCCGCUCGCCGGAAGACCAAGGGUUCCUGUCCAACGUUAAUCGGGGCAGGGUGAGUCGACCCCUAAGGCGAGGCCGAAAGGCGUAGUCGAUGGGAAACAGGUUAAUAUUCCUGUACUUGGUGUUACUGCGAAGGGGGGACGGAGAAGGCUAUGUUGGCCGGGCGACGGUUGUCCCGGUUUAAGCGUGUAGGCUGGUUUUCCAGGCAAAUCCGGAAAAUCAAGGCUGAGGCGUGAUGACGAGGCACUACGGUGCUGAAGCAACAAAUGCCCUGCUUCCAGGAAAAGCCUCUAAGCAUCAGGUAACAUCAAAUCGUACCCCAAACCGACACAGGUGGUCAGGUAGAGAAUACCAAGGCGCUUGAGAGAACUCGGGUGAAGGAACUAGGCAAAAUGGUGCCGUAACUUCGGGAGAAGGCACGCUGAUAUGUAGGUGAAGCGACUUGCUCGUGGAGCUGAAAUCAGUCGAAGAUACCAGCUGGCUGCAACUGUUUAUUAAAAACACAGCACUGUGCAAACACGAAAGUGGACGUAUACGGUGUGACGCCUGCCCGGUGCCGGAAGGUUAAUUGAUGGGGUUAGCGCAAGCGAAGCUCUUGAUCGAAGCCCCGGUAAACGGCGGCCGUAACUAUAACGGUCCUAAGGUAGCGAAAUUCCUUGUCGGGUAAGUUCCGACCUGCACGAAUGGCGUAAUGAUGGCCAGGCUGUCUCCACCCGAGACUCAGUGAAAUUGAACUCGCUGUGAAGAUGCAGUGUACCCGCGGCAAGACGGAAAGACCCCGUGAACCUUUACUAUAGCUUGACACUGAACAUUGAGCCUUGAUGUGUAGGAUAGGUGGGAGGCUUGGAAGUGUGGACGCCAGUCUGCAUGGAGCCGACCUUGAAAUACCACCCUUUAAUGUUUGAUGUUCUAACGUUGACCCGUAAUCCGGGUUGCGGACAGUGUCUGGUGGGUAGUUUGACUGGGGCGGUCUCCUCCUAAAGAGUAACGGAGGAGCACGAAGGUUGGCUAAUCCUGGUCGGACAUCAGGAGGUUAGUGCAAUGGCAUAAGCCAGCUUGACUGCGAGCGUGACGGCGCGAGCAGGUGCGAAAGCAGGUCAUAGUGAUCCGGUGGUUCUGAAUGGAAGGGCCAUCGCUCAACGGAUAAAAGGUACUCCGGGGAUAACAGGCUGAUACCGCCCAAGAGUUCAUAUCGACGGCGGUGUUUGGCACCUCGAUGUCGGCUCAUCACAUCCUGGGGCUGAAGUAGGUCCCAAGGGUAUGGCUGUUCGCCAUUUAAAGUGGUACGCGAGCUGGGUUUAGAACGUCGUGAGACAGUUCGGUCCCUAUCUGCCGUGGGCGCUGGAGAACUGAGGGGGGCUGCUCCUAGUACGAGAGGACCGGAGUGGACGCAUCACUGGUGUUCGGGUUGUCAUGCCAAUGGCACUGCCCGGUAGCUAAAUGCGGAAGAGAUAAGUGCUGAAAGCAUCUAAGCACGAAACUUGCCCCGAGAUGAGUUCUCCCUGACCCUUUAAGGGUCCUGAAGGAACGUUGAAGACGACGACGUUGAUAGGCCGGGUGUGUAAGCGCAGCGAUGCGUUGAGCUAACCGGUACUAAUGAACCGUGAGGCUUAACC
rnacentral:rRNA from 1 species